CAUCAAUAUUCCACUUCUUUCAGGUUACAACAAAGACGAUAUGAAAGUGUAUGUGUCCUAUGAAUUUCCCUUUCUAAACGAUCAACCUCAAACUGGCUUCACGGAAACCAUCAAACACAACAUUAAUCGUGAAUUUGAUUAAAAGUUUAAGAUAUCUAUCGACA